AAGUUCAGCAGUCUCUUUCCUGUGGGUACUGCAUGUCCAGUCUAUCAAACAGCAAAGGAGAAACCUUGUGAGGAGGAUAGAUGACAGCUCAUCCACAAAGUCAUAUUCCAUGAGGUAUAUGGAGACCUCACAAAGGAAAGGAAAGUGUUUUGUUCUGGUCUUCACAGGAAAACCAUCUCUAAGCAGUGAGAAGACAGUGAACAUGUAGAUACCUAAAGAAGGGAGGAUGGCUACCCAAAGAACCAUCAAACCAAGAAGAAUCUAACAUUUGAGAACAAAGAAUUUCCUAACAGCACUCUUCAAAAAACAUCAGAAAGAAAAUGGGGCCCC